GUUACCUAUACAAUACUUUCCGCCAGAGAACUACAAGUGAAAAACUUGAAACUCAAAGGACUUGACGGUGUCCCAUAUCGACCUAGAGGAGCCUGUCCUAUAAUCGAUAACCCCCGUUCCACCCAACCCCAACUAGCAAAUUUACCAGCCUAUAUACCGCCGUCGACAGUCUACCCCAUGAGGGCUUAAUAGUAGACGCAACAGCCUUAACGCUAAUACGUCAGGUCAAGGUGUAGCAGAUGUUGGGGAAGAGAUUGGCUACAUUUUUUAUGAUAAAAAACACGAAUUGCAUUAUGAAACACUGCAUGAAGGUGAAUUUAGUAGUAAAACAGAUAAGAGUGUCUGUUUUAACAACGCUCUGGGACGCGU
rnacentral:rRNA from 1 species